AUUCAGCAACCGAGUCUCAAAUAGGACGAAACGCGCAUCCUGAAU
rnacentral:hammerhead_ribozyme from 1 species